rnacentral:rRNA from 1 species
GAUGAACGCUGGCGGCGCGCCUAACACAUGCAAGUCGAACGGUUAAAGCACCUUUUUGGUGUGUAUAAAGUGGCGAACGGCUGAGUAACACGUCGGCAACCUGCCCUCCUCUUGGGGAUAGCCUCGGCAAACCGAGGAUACUACCCGAUACUUCAAUGUGGCAGCAUGACGACCAUGAGAAAGCUUCGGCGGGGAUGGGUGGGCUCGCGGCCUGUUGGCUUGUUGGUGGGGUAGAGGCCUACCAAGCCAACGAAGGGUAGCUGGAUUCUGGGACCGACCAGCGAUCUUGGGUCUGACGCGCGGCCCAGGCACCUACUGGUGGCAGCUGGGCGGAAUCUUGCACAAUCGACGACGGCCGGAUGAAGCAGCGCCGCGUGCGGGACGAAGGCCUUCGGGUUGUAAACCGCUUGCAGCAGUGACGAUGCGAUAAGUGACGGUACCUGCAGAAGAAGCCCCGGCUAACUACGUG